rnacentral:rRNA from 1 species
ACUGCUCAGUAACACGUGGACAACCUGCCCUUAGGUUGGGUAUAAACCCGGGAAACUGGGUAUAAUACCCGAUAGGUCUCGAUUGCUGGAAUGCAUCGAGAUUUAAAGCUCCGGCGCCUAAGGAUGGGUCUGCGGCCUAUCAGGUAGUAGUGGGUGUAGCGUACCUACUAGCCUACGACGGGUACGGGUUGUGAGAGCAAGAGCCCGGAGAUGGAUUCUGAGACACGAAUCCAGGCCCUACGGGGUGCAGCAGGCGCGAAAACUUUACAAUGCUGGCAACAGCGAUAAGGGAACCUCGAGUGCCAGGUUACAAAUCUGGCUGUCGAGAUGCCUAAAAAGCAUUUCAUAGCAAGGGCCGGGCAAGACCGGUGCCAGCCGCCGCGGUAACACCGGCGGCUCGAGUAGUAACCGUUAUUAUUGGGUCUAAAGGGUCUGUAGCCGGCCGGAUAAGUCUCUUGAGAAAUCUGGCAGCUUAACUGUCAGGCUUUCAGGAGAUACUGUCUGGCUCGAGGCCGGGAGAGGUGAGAGGUACUUCAGGGGUAGGGGUGAAAUCUUGUAAUCCUUGAAGGACCACCAGUGGCGAAGGCGUCUCACCAGAACGGACCUGACGGCAAGGGACGAAAGCUAGGGGCACGAACCGGAUUAGAUACCCGGGUAGUCCUAGCCGUAAACGAUACUCGCUAGGUGUCGGCCACGGUGCGACCGUUGUCGGUGCCGUAGGGAAGCCGUGAAGCGAGCCACCUGGGAAGUACGGCCGCAAGGCUGAAACUUAAAGGAAUUGGCGGGGGAGCAC